GACGAACGCUGGCGGCGUGCCUAAUACAUGCAAGUAGAACGCUGAAGGAGGAGCUUGCUUCUCCGGAUGAGUUGCGAACGGGUGAGUAACGCGUAGGUAACCUGCCUGGUAGCGGGGGAUAACUAUUGGAAACGAUAGCUAAUACCGCAUAAUAGUAGAUGUUGCAUGACAUUUGCUUAAAAGGUGCAAUUGCAUCACUACCAGAUGGACCUGCGUUGUAUUAGCUAGUUGGUGAGGUAACGGCUCACCAAGGCAACGAUACAUAGCCGACCUGAGAGGGUGAUCGGCCACACUGGGACUGAGACACGGCCCAGACUCCUACGGGAGGCAGCAGUAGGGAAUCUUCGGCAAUGGACGGAAGUCUGACCGAGCAACGCCGCGUGAGUGAAGAAGGUUUUCGGAUCGUAAAGCUCUGUUGUAAGAGAAGAACGAGUGUGAGAGUGGAAAGUUCACACUGUGACGGUAUCUUACCAGAAAGGACG
rnacentral:rRNA from 1 species